rnacentral:miRNA from 1 species
AAUCACAGGAAAAUUCUGUGCG